rnacentral:rRNA from 1 species
CCUACGGGUGGCAGCAGUGAGGAAUAUUGGUCAAUGGGCGGGAGCCUGAACCAGCCAAGUCGCGUGAGGGAAGACGGUCCUACGGAUUGUAAACUUCUUUAGGCGGGGAGCAAUGCGGUCCACGCGUGCCCGUAGGGAGAGUACCCGCAGAAUAAGCAUCGGCUAACUCCGUGCCAGCAGCCGCGGUAAUACGGAGGAUGCGAGCGUUAUCCGGAUUUAUUGGGUUUAAAGGGUGCGUAGGCGGAAUAUUAAGUCAGCGGUAAAAUGUCCGGGCUCAACCCCGGCGGGCCGUUGAAACUGGUGAUCUUGAGUGGGCGAGAAGUAUGCGGAAUGCGUGGUGUAGCGGUGAAAUGCAUAGAUAUCACGCAGAACUCCGAUUGCGAAGGCAGCAUACCGGCGCCCGACUGACGCUGAGGCACGAAAGCGUGGGGAUCGAACAGGAUUAGAUACCCCAGUAGUC